rnacentral:rRNA from 1 species
CUACGGGUUGCUGCAGUGGGGAAUAUUGCACAAUGGACGAAAGUCUAAUGCAGCAACGCCGCGUGGAGGAUGACACAUUUCGGUGCGUAAACUCCUUUUAUAUAGGAAGAUAAUGACGGUACUAUAUGAAUAAGCACCGGCUAACUCCGUGCCAGCAGCCGCGGUAAUACGGAGGGUGCAAGCGUUACUCGGAAUUACUGGGCGUAAAGAGCGUGUAGGCGGGUUUGUAAGUUGGAUGUGAAAUCCUAUGGCUCAACCAUAGAACUGCAUCCAAAACUGCUUACCUAGAAUAUGGGAGAGGUAGAUGGAAUUUCUGGUGUAGGGGUAAAAUCCGUAGAGAUCAGAAGGAAUACCGAUUGCGAAGGCGAUCUACUGGAACAUUAUUGACGCUGAGACGCGAAAGCGUGGGGAGCAAACAGGAUUAGAUACCCCGGUAGUC